rnacentral:lncRNA from 1 species
UUGAACUUUUUAUUGCCUGCUGAAUGAAAAAGUUUCACAUUUUAAUAUUCGGCAAUGUUUCCUGUUCAAUAUUCCUGAACAUUUUUAUUCACAGCUCAGAGUCCGUCUCUUCACUGACAUUUAUCCAAGACCAACAAUAUUCAUCUGUCUCUGAUUGUGUUUGUCUCAUCGUUCCAUCAGAACCAUAUUAGUUUCUGAGAUGUGUUCACUUGGAGGCUUCUGAUAAUUAUUCAGUAAUGAAUAUUCAAAUGUUUUCUUCUGUAUUCUGAAUCAGUCACAAAUAAACCACAUCAAAAGGUCAACAGUGAUUUUGAAAUGUAUUUGUUUCUUUAUUGGUUCAGAACCAAUAACUGGUUUCUGGCUGUUACAAACGGGAUCUAAGAGUUAUUUAGGCAACAUAUGUCACAAGUGCCAGGUUUAUUUCCUGGGUUUGCCUUUUAUUUUGACACCCUGUCUCUUCCUGUGCUCCUGUCAUUCCAGUUUGUCCAGCUUGUUGCUUGUUCACCUCUGCUCCCUCUGCCACAGCUGUGCCACAGCAGCCACUGGGCCCAGCUGCACUAAUCUGAACCUGGAGUCUUUAAACCAGGCACGUCGGACUAGGCAGCCUGUGAAAUGUCAUCAGUUUGGCGGAGUUUCUCAGGCUGUUUGAGCUAAUGAGCGGGUGUUGGACCAUUCAGGUGGAAAAGUGUCUGACACAUGUUAACCUGUUGGAAGCGGAGCCAUUAGCCCCUUGGAGUUCAAGCUGCUCUGACACUGUUACACUCAUCUGGUCUUCAUCACCUUCACACCUGAUGUUCGUCUGUAGGCUGUCCAGACUCACCUUCUGUCUUCUCAGGGAGGAUCCAGGGCUGUCAUCUGUCCACUGGAUCUUCAGCUGGUUCCUCCUGAACCUCUAG